rnacentral:rRNA from 1 species
AACGAACGCUGGCGGCGUGCCUAACACAUGCAAGUCGAACGAGAAAGGGACUUCGGUCCUGAGUAAAGUGGCGCACGGGUGAGUAACACGUAGGUAACCUACCUCUAAGUUUGGGAUAACCUGUCGAAAGAUGAGCUAAUACUGAAUAAGACCACAGUUUCCUCGGAAGCAGAGGUCAAAGGUAGCCUCUAUUUAUAAGCUAUCACUUAGAGAUGGGCCUGCGUACCAUUAGCUAGUUGGUGAGGUAACGGCUCACCAAGGCAAAGAUGGUUAGCUGGUCUGAGAGGAUGAUCAGCCACACUGGAACUGAGAUACGGUCCAGACU